rnacentral:tRNA from 1 species
GCCCGGCUAGCUCAGUCGGUAGAGCAUCAAACAUUUAAUCUGAGGGUCAUGGGUUCGAGUCUCAUGUUGGGCG